rnacentral:rRNA from 1 species
AUUGAACGCUGGCGGAAUGCUUUACACAUGCAAGUCGAACGGCAGCACGGGUGCUUGCACCUGGUGGCGAGUGGCGAACGGGUGAGUAACAUAUCGGAACGUACCCAGUAAUGGGGGAUAACUAACCGAAAGGUUAGCUAAUACCGCAUACGCCCUGAGGGGGAAAGCGGGGGAUCGAAAGACCUCGCGCUAUUGGAGCGGCCGAUAUCUGAUUAGCUAGUUGGUGAGGUAAAGGCUCACCAAGGCGACGAUCAGUAGCAGGUCUGAGAGGAUGAUCUGCCACACUGGAACUGAGACACGGUCCAGAUUCCUACGGGAGGCAGCAGUGGGGAAUUUUGGACAAUGGGGGAAACCCUGAUCCAGCCAUUCCGCGUGAGUGAAGAAGGCCUUCGGGUUGUAAAGCUCUUUCGGCAGGGAAGAAACGGUUCUGGAUAAUACCCGGAGCUAAUGACGGUACCUGAAGAAGAAGCACCGGCUAACUACGUGCCAGCCGCCGCAGUAA